rnacentral:lncRNA from 1 species
CUUGCUUAUAUUCAAGAUUAUAUUGUUCUUAGUUUAUCAUAGUUAUGUACUUGGCUUAGUUAGAUUGGAUCUAUAUACAUGCUUAGGAUCGUAUAGCGUUAUGCAUUAGAUCCAUGGGUAAAUGAUAGAUAUUGUGUAGGCAUGGUGCUUAUACCGUAUUUAUCUGCGAUUGUACCCAAUAUGCCAGAUCGUGGGGUAGUUCGUGAUAGUGACACUUAUCUCUGUAUGAAAGAGUUAGAUAACUGUUCUCAAUUAUACAUGCAAUGAUAGAUACUCAAUCUCAUAUUCUAUUCUGUAAUCAAUAUUGAUGAUUGCUAAUCCCUUCCCAGUGGUAAAAGUAUAAAUAACGAUACCUAGAAUACUUCCCAGUUAAAAUGCUACAUCGGUAUUAAUCUGUGCGCUUGCAGAUCCCAUUCAUUAUUUAUUUAGAAGAGCAAUUGCAUAUUUCAGUACCGCGUCUCUCAUGUCAUGCUGGGGAUGACAACUUGGCUUAAGUGGUGUGAGGGAUAGGUUUGGUAUUUUUGGCACCGUUACUAGAUUUAGAGAACUUAGUCUACUUUUGGUAAUGAUGUUAAGAAUGCCCAACAUAUGCCUUCUCUCAAAGUAUGUGGUAUUUUUGGUAUGAGGCAUAGUGAUAUUGCCUUCUCUCUCACCCUACUCUAAUAAGGUUUUGAUAUCUGGAGCUCAUAGGUGGGAGACACAUAAUACAUACUUACAAGACAUUUAUUGCAUAGUCAAACCAUGGAUCCAAAGAAAUAAGUCAAUAAGUCAAAUCAAGAUGUGCAUGUGUGGCGAAUGAAUGGUGUAUGGUGAUGAUGGUGAUAACAAUGGUGAAAGUCUAAUUCUACUUUUGCUUUUUUAAGGGGAUACAUACCUUUCUUGCACUUUGAAGCUUUUUGAGGAGAAUGAGAUGCUCUAUAUUUUCUUUUUCUUUCCUCUCAGGUGGGUAUCUUGUACCCCUAAUUCUACAGUCGGACACUUGUCCAUUUUUACCUCUCAUCUCACUUUUUCUUUUCUUCGAGGUUCCAGGCACUUGCCCCUUUUUAGUUCCUCGUAUUUUUUUUUCUUUUUCUCUUUUUUUAGAGCACUCAUCUCCUAAAAUAAUAUAGCAAGUGGUAGUAACCAAGAUAACUCGAGCAUUUAUUUCAUAGGGAAAAAUAGAAAUAGGAGAAUGUUUUUGGCUAUUCUCUCCCGGAUUAGGAGUAGAAUAAUUUUGGGUGAAUCUGGAGAUGGAAAUGAGUGGAUAUAUGUGGAUGCGUACUUCCGGAGUAGAAGCAGCAUGUAUGAGUGAACGUGCAAGUGAAUCUUGAUUUUAACCGCAUGACAAGGUCCUAAGGGUCUACAUAGCUUGACCACACUCAAUGCUCAUAAGUAGUAAGAAGUAAAUAUGUGGCUCAAAGUCUAAUAAGUAUGUAUGUAUGGCUGUGGAAGGAAUUUAAACUCUCAUCAUACAGGAACUCAUCAUGCAUUAUUGAAAAGAUUUUCAAAGAUAAAAUUCUCCAGAAUUCUAGCAUCUCUAGGAACAGAUAAACAACAGCUCAACCUUCCCAUAUCAUAUCCGUUAACAACUUAGACUUUAGAUCAAGUACUCUUCCCACAAGUUCAGGUUUAGAGCAGAUUUAAAUUAUAAGUUAUGCCUAAACUUGAGAGAGAUUUCAAAUUUAUGAACUAGUUAUGGCAGAGCAACUAUUCAUCAUUUCCAUGUGAGAGCUUAUCAUAAGGGUUCAUAGCAAACUUUAUUUAUUUAGCAAACUAAGCAAGGAUAUAUAUAAAAGCACAAAAUAUUUAUUUGGGUUUUUUUAUGAUUGUGCAUCUUUUUAUUAUUUAAGUAAAGUAUAAACGCGAGUAGAAACACUUAGCAGGAUAAAUGGGGGUGCUCUCCCCCAAGCUGGAUUUUGACGUAAUUUCUUCUGAUGUAGCUAGCAGGUGGCGGAGGUGUAUUUGAAUGUCGGCAGCACCCUGAUAGUGAUUAGGAUGUCCUUCGUCUGCUAGUCUUCUUUGAUCCUUGAAUUCUAUGGAGCUCAAAUAGACAACAAAGCUUGGUGGAACUCUUGGC